AGGGCAGUCAGUGGGGAGGCAUUUAGGAAAAAGGGGCUUUGGGGGCACCUGGGUGGCGUUGUCAGUUAAGUGACGGACUCUUGAUCUCGGCUCAGGUCAUAGUCUCACAGUUCACGAGUUCAAGCCCCACCUUGGGCUCUGUGCUGAUGGCACGCAGCCUGCUUGGAAUUCUUUGUCUCUCCUUCUCUCUGCCCUUUCCCCCCUUGCGCCCAGGCUCUCUCUCUCUCUCAAAGUAAAUAAAAAUAAAUAGGAAAAAGGGACUUUUUCCUAGGAUUCGUCAAAUCCCGCAAAAUAAGCGGUCCACAAAUUCGGUGCUGCGGGCAGUUCUGUGGGCACCUGUUAAACCACAAGUCAACCUGUGGGAGUUCCUGUGCUCCUGAUCCGUGUUUCAGAUGGCGCCGCCAGAAGGGCAGGGCAGCCGGAAGCUGUGGAGAGGAGAGGACUGCGGGGUGAAGGAGAUGUCCAACACUGUGGCAGAACCCAGGACUUCUUGGAUUCGGACCAAGAGCAUGGCGUCCAACUGCUUCAUUUGGUCGGGAAAAUAGAAAGCUUGGUGGUUAUGUGGCUUGGCAGUGGUCACGCCACAGAUAGCAUUUUCCAGGGGCAACACCUGAUGCUGGAACGGAGCCAAGGCAGAAGCAGGCUGAGCACCCAGGUGCCUCCCAUGAAGCCAGACGUUAAGAUAUUUGCAAAACUUUACUCCGUGCCACCCUUGUCACUAAAUUUUUUGUUGGGGGAAAAUUAUCUUUCAGUGGACACAUUACGGAGGUUCGAGGGCUGAUUAGGCUGCUGUGAUCAGAAGCAGCCAUAAAUGUGGAACAGACCAGCAGUGUGGACUUGACCUGCAGGCAUGUCUGCUCAGCCACAAAAUGGUGGGCCAGAGGCAUGAUGAUCAUCUCUAGGAUCUCCUCACACUGGCAAGACUCCAGAGGGAUGAUGUCUUCCUCGGAUGUCCUCAGUUUUGUUAUAAUGAUGUCGAAGAAACUCAAGAUCUUUUCUUUGAUUUCUU